AAUAGAUACCCUGGUAGUCCACGCCGUAAACGGUGGGCACUAGAUGUGGGGCUCUUCCCAUGAGUUCCGCGUCGCAGCUAACGCAUUAAGUGCCCCGCCUGGGGAGUACGGCCGCAAGGCUAAAACUCAAAGGAAUUGACGGGGGCCCGCACAAGCGGCGGAGCAUGCGGAUUAAUUCGAUGCAACGCGAAGAACCUUACCAAGGCUUGACAUAUACGGUCUAUCCCUAGAGAUAGGGAGUGCUUCGGCGCCGUAUACAGGUGGUGCAUGGUUGUCGUCAGCUCGUGUCGUGAGAUGUUGGGUUAAGUCCCGCAACGAGCGCAACCCUCGUUCUAUGUUGCCAGCACGUAAUGGUGGGGACUCAUAGGAGACUGCCGGGGUCAACUCGGAGGAAGGUGGGGAUGACGUCAAAUCAUCAUGCCCCUUAUGUCUUGGGCUUCACGCAUGCUACAAUGGCCGGUACAAAGGGCUGCAAUACCGUAAGGUGGAGCGAAUCCCAAAAGCCGGUCUCAGUUCGGA
rnacentral:rRNA from 1 species